UACGUAGGUGGCAAGCGUUGUCCGGAUUUACUGGGCGUAAAGGGAGCGUAGGUGGAUAUUUAAGUGGGAUGUGAAAUACUCGGGCUCAACCUGAGUGCUGCAUUCCAAACUGGAUAUCUAGAGUGCAGGAGAGGAAAGUAGAAUUCCUAGUGUAGCGGUGGAAUGCGUAGAGAUUAGGAAGAAUACCAGUGGCGAAGGCGACUUUCUGGACUGUAACUGACACUGAGGCACGAAGGCCAGGGGAGCAAACGGG
rnacentral:rRNA from 1 species